rnacentral:tRNA from 1 species
GCCUGGGUGGCUCAGUCAGUCAAGCGUCUGACUUCAGCUCAGGUCAUGAUCUCAGUUUGUGAGUUCGAGCCCCGCAUCAGGCU